AGAGUUUGAUCCUGGCUCAGAACGAACGUUGGCGGCGUGGAUUAGGCAUGCAAGUCGAACGAGAACCUUUGGGCAACUGAAGGGGAAAGUGGCGAAAGGGGCAGUAAUGUAUGGGUAACCUACCCCGGGGACCGGGAUAGCCUUCCUAACGGAUGGGUAAUACCGGGCGAUCUGGCGAGGACGCAUGUUCUUGCCAGGAAAUGAGUUUCGCCUCGGGAGGGGCUCAUAUAGUAUUAGCUAGUUGGUGAGGUAACGGCUCACCAAGGCUCAGAUGCUUAGCGGGUGUGAGAGCACGACCCGCGCCACUGGCACUGAGACACUGGCCAGACUCCUACGGGAGGCUGCAGUCGAGGAUCUUCGGCAAUGGGCGCAAGCCUGACCGAGCGACGCCGCGUGUGCGAUGAAGGCCUUCGGGUUGUAAAGCACUGUCGAGGGGGAGGAAAGCCGCAAGGCUUGACCUAUCCCUGGAGGAAGCACGGGCUAAGUUCGUGCCAGCAGCCGCGGUAAGACGAACCGUGCGAACGUUGUUCGGAAUCACUGGGCUUAAAGGGCGCGUAGGCGGUUGAUCAAGUCUGGGGUGAAAUCUUUCGGCUUAACCGGAAAAGUGCCUUGGAUACUGGUCAGCUGGAGGGAGGUAGGGGCAGUUGGAACUUCCAGUGGAGCGGUGAAAUGCGUUGAUAUUGGAAGGAACGCCGGUGGCGAAAGCGAGCUGCUGGACCUCUUCUGACGCUGAUGCGCGAAAGCUAGGGGAGCAAACGGAAUUAGAUACCCCAGUAGUCC
rnacentral:rRNA from 1 species